GGAGGAAAAGAAACCAACAGGGAUUGCCCUAGUAACGGCGAGUGAAGCGGCAACAGCUCAAAUUUGAAAUCUGGCUCCCUUGGGGGUCCGAGUUGUAAUUUGUAGAGGGUGCUUUGGUAUUAGCUGUGGUCUAAGACCCUUGGAACAGGGCGUCACAGAGGGUGAGAAUCCCGUAUGUGGCCAGCAGCUCUUGCCUUGUAAAGCCCCUUCGACGAGUCGAGUUGUUUGGGAAUGCAGCUCUAAAUGGGAGGUAAAUUUCUUCUAAAGCUAAAUAUUGGCCAGAGACCGAUAGCGCACAAGUAGAGUGAUCGAAAGAUGAAAAGCACUUUGGAAAGAGAGUCAAAAAGCACGUGAAAUUGUUGAAAGGGAAGCGCUUGCAGCCAGACUUGCCCGUAGUUGUUCAUCUAGGCUCUUGCCUAGUGCACUCUUCUGCGGGCAGGCCAGCAUCAGUCCAGGCGGUCGGAUAAAGGCCUUGGGAAUGUGGCUCCUUUCGGGGAGUGUUAUAGCCCAGGGUGCCAUGCGGCCAGCCUGAACUGAGGUCCGCGCUUCUGCUAGGAUGCUGGCGUAAUGGCUGUAAGCGGCCCGUCUUGAAACACGGACCAAGGAGUCUAACAUCUAUGCGAGUGUUUGGGUGUCAAGCCCGAGCGCGCAAUGAAAGUGAACGGAGGUGGGAACCCCUCGGGGUGCACCAUCGACCGAUCCUGAUGUCUUCGGAUGGAUUUGAGUAAGAGCAUAGCUGUUGGGACCCGAAAGAUGGUGAACUAUGCCUGAAUAGGGUGAAGCCAGAGGAAACUCUGGUGGAGGCUCGCAGCGGUUCUGACGUGCAAAUCGAUCGUCAAAUUUGGGCAUAGGGGCGAAAGACUAAUCGAAC
rnacentral:rRNA from 1 species